rnacentral:rRNA from 1 species
UACGUAGGGGGCGAGCGUUGUCCGGAUUUAUUGGGCGUAAAGCGCUCGCAGGCGGCUCGAUGCGUCGUGCGUGAAACACCCCGGCUCAACUGGGGAGGGUCGUGCGAUACGGUCGGGCUGGAGGCCAGUAGGGGGAUGCGGAAUUCCGGGUGUAGUGGUGGAAUGCGUAGAGAUCCGGAGGAACACCAGCGGCGAAGGCGGCAUCCUGGACUGGUCCUGACGCUCAGGAGCGAAAGCGUGGGGAGCGAUCCGG